AGCAACAGUAUCAACUGCAGUACCACCAGCAACAAUAUCUGCAGGACCAUCAGCAGCGCAUCAAGAUUUCCUGCGAUAUUGCUCCCAGCACCCAGGUCCGAUAUCUCAAAGAGCUUUCUACCGGUGGUGUCAAUAUGGGGGAGAUGAUCCCUCCUUUAGAUGGAGGAGACAAGCCCCAUAUGACACCACUGGUAGAAGGAGGGGUGCUGGGAAGCGGUUCAACUCUUUUAAUUUCUACCAGUAGCUUUUUUAAGCUACUGGUAGAAUUAUCUUCAUCUUUAAUUAUAAAGAAAAUUGACUUUUUAAAAAAAUGUUUUUUUUUAAUUUUGCAAUUUUUUAUUAUUUUAAAUUUUAUACUUUCACUAUUUUAUUUUUUUGAUUUUUAAUUCUGUUUUUAAAUCCUAAACUUACAAAAGAACUCUUAUGUUAUAAAAGUUUUUAAUAAUUUGUCUAUAAGUUUUUUUAUUAAUUUACGUUUUUACAUCUUUUUAUCUUCAUUUUUAAUUUUAAUAAUACUAAAUUUUCUUUUGUAUUAACUUAUUUUUGUUAAGUGUUAUAUAGUUUUUGAAAGAUUUGGUAAAUAUAUUUAAAAUUUUUCUUUUUCUAUGAUAUCUGUUUAAUGUCUAAUAUAUGCACUAUACACCUAUUAAUCUCUUUACAUUAUUCUCUUUAGAUAUAUUAUAAAAUAGUAUUUAAAAUCAGUUGUCAGCCACAUGUGGUCUAUAUGAUGCAACAUGUUUGCAAUUGUUGGCAUGUCAAUUUUAGUUUAGUAUUAUUAAAAUUAAUUUGUAACUAAUUUUGCUUUUUAACAAAACCAUUAAUAUGACUUUUAAAAUAAUAAAAUUUUUUAUUUGUUUCUAAAAACACUGUUUUAUUACUUACAAUAUAGUAUGUUAUUACAAGAUACUUCUGGCUUUUUCUCUGUUUCAAACCAGUUUAGUUAUAAUUUUUGUUCACAAAUUUUAUUAGACGCUAUACACAUAGUUUCAUAGGUUUAAACUGAUAAAUAGCACUUUAUUGUUUUUGUUCAUUUUAGAUUAGUAUAGCAAAAAAUUAAUCAGAUAUGCGUUUAUAUAUCUUUAUUUAUAUUUAUGUGCUUAAGUUUAUAUAAGUUUAUAUUAUGUUGUUUCCAUGUGAAAAGUGAUGUUACUUGGCAACGUGUAGUGCAAGAUUGUGAUUCUUGCUAGCCAAGCGGUGUUACUAAUUAGUGGUGUUACUUGGCACUUAAUGCCAAGCGGUGUUACUAAAUUGUGGUGUUACUUAGCAGCGUUUAGUGCAAAGCGGUGUUACAAGUGUUGAGCUAGGUUGUGUUGUCUAGCUUUUUUAAUUAUUCUGGAAACACAUAAUCUGAAUAUUUUGUGUUAUGUGCAAAUGUGUUAUGUAAAAAUAAUUUAUGCUAUGUGUAUUCAGUAGCAUAG
rnacentral:lncRNA from 1 species